rnacentral:lncRNA from 1 species
UGGUCUUUGACUCAGUUUAGAGUUCAGAAAAUAAAAAGAGACAUGGCAAACAUUACUACCCUUAGAGCUUGUCGUCUCAAACAUGACAUAACAUUUCUAUGGCUAUAAGAGCAUGCCACCAAAGUCAAAAUGAGAAGUAUAAAGUUAAAGAGUUUCCUACUGAGAAAAAAUUAUAUUUCACAAAGGUGAUUGAUUGGCCCUGCAUGAGAUGUUAGGAUCAUUAAUUGCUUCUCAAGUUCUAUGAAGUGGAGAUAAAAGCCAGACAGUAUUUGAAGAGGCAUUCAGAUAUCAAAGGAUAAGUACGAGUCAAGGGAAAGGAGAAGUUAUUUUAGCAGUGAUUCCCUGCAUGAGAUGUUAGGAUCAUUAAUUGCUUCUGGAGUUCUAUGAAGUGGAGAUAAAAGCUUGAUAGUACUUGAAGAGGAGGCAUUCAGAUAUCAAAGGUUUUAUUAAGGGAAAGGAGAAGUUAUUUUAGCAGUGAUUGAAUAUUGGAAAAUCAUCAAAAAUGAUUGAGAGUUCAACACUACAAAUUAUCUUAAUUGAAACUUGAUGCAUAACUGUUCUGUAGGAGCUUAUUUAGUUUCCAA